rnacentral:rRNA from 1 species
GUCCACGCCGUAAACGAUGUUCACUAGUUGCUGGAGGCCCUGGAGCCCUCAGUGACGUACCUAACGGAUUAAGUGAACCGCCUGGGGAGUACGGUCGCAAGAUUAAAACUCAAAGGAAUUGACGGGGACCCGCACAAGCGGUGGAGCAUGUGGUUUAAUUCGAAGCAACGCGCAGAACCUUACCUGGGUUUGACAUGGGAGGAAGUUUCGGUAAUGCGAAACGUGCCCUUCGGGGAACCUCCGCACAGGUGCUGCAUGGCU